ACGAACGCUGGCGGCGUGGAUAAGACAUGCAAGUCGAACGGGAGAAUUGCUAGCUUGCUAAUAAUUCUCUAGUGGCGCACGGGUGAGUAACACGUGAGUAACCUGCCUCUUAGUGGGGGAUAGCCCUGGGAAACCGGGAUUAAUACAGCAUACGAUUGAAAGAUCAAAGCAGCAAUGCGCUAGGAGAUGGGCUCGCGGCCUAUUAGUUAGUUGGUGAGGUAACGGCUCACCAAGGCGAUGACGGGUAGCCGGUCUGAGAGGAUGUCCGGCCACACUGGAACUGAGACACGGUCCAGACACCUACGGGUGGCAGCAGUCGAGAAUCAUUCACAAUGGGGGCAACCCUGAUGGUGCGACGCCGCGUGGGGGAAUGAAGGUCUUCGGAUUGUAAACCCCUGUCAUGUGGGAGCAAAUUAAAAAGAUAGUACCACAAGAGGAAGAGACGGCUAACUCUGUGCCAGCAGCCGCGGUAAUACAGAGGUCUCAAGCGUUGUUCGGAAUCACUGGGCGUAAAGCGUGCGUAGGCUGUUUCGUAAGUCGUGUGUGAAAGGCAGGGGCUCAACCCCUGGAUUGCACAUGAUACUGCGAGACUAGAGUAAUGGAGGGGGAACCGGAAUUCUCGGUGUAGCAGUGAAAUGCGUAGAUAUCGAGAGGAACACUCGUGGCGAAGGCGGGUUCCUGGACAUUAACUGACGCUGAGGCACGAAGGCCAGGGGAGCGAAAGGGAUUAGAUACCCCUGUAGUCCUGGCAGUAAACGGUGCACGCUUGGUGUGCGGGGAAUCGACCCCCUGCGUGCCGGAGCUAACGCGUUAAGCGUGCCGCCUGGGGAGUACGGUCGCAAGAUUAAAACUCAAAGAAAUUGACGGGGACCCGCACAAGCGGUGGAGUAUGUGGCUUAAUUCGAUGCAACGCGAAGAACCUUACCUGGGCUUGACAUGUAAUGAAUAACAUGUGAAAGCAUGCGACUCUUCGGAGGCGUUACACAGGUGCUGCAUGGCCGUCGUCAGCUCGUGUCGUGAGAUGUUUGGUUAAGUCCAGCAACGAGCGCAACCCCUGUUGCCAGUUACCAGCACGUCAAGGUGGGGACUCUGGCGAGACUGCCCAGAUCAACUGGGAGGAAGGUGGGGACGACGUCAGGUCAGUAUGGCCCUUAUGCCCAGGGCUGCACACGUACUACAAUGCCCAGUACAGAGGGGGCCGAAGCCGCGAGGCGGAGGAAAUCCUGAAAACUGGGCCCAGUUCGGACUGUAGGCUGCAACCCGCCUACACGAAGCCGGAAUCGCUAGUAAUGGCGCAUCAGCUACGGCGCCGUGAAUACGUUCCCGGGUCUUGUACACACCGCCCGUCACAUCAUGGAAGCCGGUCGCACCCGAAGUAUCUGAAGCCAACCGCAAGGAGGCAGGGUCCUAAGGUGAGACUGGUAACUGGGAUG
rnacentral:rRNA from 1 species